GUCUGAGAGGAUGACCAGCCACACUGGAACUGAGACACGGUCCAGACUCCUACGGGAGGCAGCAGUGGGGAAUAUUGCACAAUGGGCGCAAGCCUGAUGCAGCCAUGCCGCGUGUGUGAAGAAGGCCUUCGGGUUGUAAAGCACUUUCAGCGGGGAGGAAGGCGUUAAGGUUAAUAACCUUGGCGAUUGACGUUACCCGCAGAAGAAGCACCGGCUAACUCCGUGCCAGCAGCCGCGGUAAUACGGAGGGUGCAAGCGUUAAUCGGAAUUACUGGGCGUAAAGCGCACGCAGGCGGUCUGUCAAGUCGGAUGUGAAAUCCCCGGGCUCAACCUGGGAACUGC
rnacentral:rRNA from 2 species